AACCAUAGAAACCUGCGGAGUACCUGCGGAGGGAUCAUUACAAGAAUCGAGGCUGACGGUGCCUACUCCCUAGGCUCCGUCCAGUCCCGCUCUCUACCUUGCCUACUGCACCGUUUGUUGCUUCCUGGCGGCGUCCCGUCGCCAGGGCCCUUUGAAAGCCAAGUAUAAGCAUUGAAACUUCUGACAUACACUAAAUCGUACAACUUUUAACAAUGGAUCU
rnacentral:misc_RNA from 1 species